rnacentral:rRNA from 1 species
UACAGAGGGUGCAAACGUUAUCCGGAGUUACUGGGCGUAAAGGGCGUGUAGGUGGUUUCGUAAGUCUGGCGUGAAAUUUUUCGGCUUAACCGGGAAAGGUCGUCGGAUACUGCGGAACUAGAGGACGGUAGAGGCGUGUGGAAUUCCGGGUGUAGUGGUGAAAUGCGUAGAGAUCCGGAGGAACACCAGUGGCGAAGGCGACACGCUGGGCCGUACCUGACACUGAUGCGCGACAGCAUGGGGAGCAAACAGG